UCCCGUAAACGAUUGUAGCAUCGAUUGUGUUUUUUUUUUCAUUAAAUAAUUAGGCGGUGACCAGCUGGCUUCGGGCAAGGUUGGUUGGGUGUGCUUGAGUAACUCUAGGGGGUGAUUAUGUGGGAUGGGGUUAGACACUCAAAGAUUUGUAUUGAGGUAGGCUGCCUUAUUGAGUCGGUUUCUUUUUUUUGCUCAAAGCUUCUCCACCGAGCCACGGACCAGUCAAGUGAUUCAUUCAGGCAACGAACCAGUUGCUGCUUCGGACGUCACAUGUCACGUGACGUUUUUUGCUCUGAAGCAAGUUUCGAAGCAGUUGGGAGUUGUAGAUCAGGGUUUCAAGCACGUACCGAAGCUUCAGUGUCACACUGCCAUCACUACCGAUCAGUGUGUUCUUUCUGAUUAGCUCUUAAUUGAGAUCACCUGUCACGCACCGCUUUAUUAAAGGUGAACACAAUGGGUUUGGUUUACUUUUCGCAUCGGCCUGUGUCAAUCGAGGUUGAGUUUAGUGAGGGUUGAAAGUUUUCGAUCUAGCUUGCAGAUCACUAUUGUCACUUUAUACAAACUGAAAGUAUGCGUUGUUGCGUGUUUUUUUUUGUGGGCAUUUGACUGAACAGCCCAGACAAAUAUUGCUACCAACAUGGCACUUCGAAACAGACCACCGCAGUGUUAGAUGACUGACAAGAUCUAUGGGGGGGCCCCCUUUGGGCCCCCCCAUACCAACUUAGUCUUCAAAGGAAUCUAGUGCCAUAGGACUCCAGUGUCUUCAAAACAUCCUCGGAAUACAUGUGUAUGAAUGGUCCACCGAAGGGUUGAUCUGGAAGCCACCACGGUCCACGCAGUAAUCUGCUGCGUGGGCCGUAGUGGCUUCCAGAGCCAUCUUUCGGUCUUGGUCAGGAUUUGUUAGUUGCCCUUCAAUGUAGCAGGCUACGGGUUUCUGAAGAAGCCUGCUUUACGCAGCAUUGGAGUACAAAUAUUGUGCAAAAUGCUCAUGUAAUUGCGCUAGCACUGGUAACCUGUAGAUUAGCUUAGUUGAACGUCAUUCGGUGCUGUCUGUCAAAUGUGUGGCUUACUUUAAGUCCACAAGGCCCUCUGGUAAACUACGUUGGAACACCCCCGGACAAGGUGAUUAGUCACUGGGUGUGUGCUAAAGUUUUGUUCCAUUUUUCACUAGUUGGUUAAGGUUUGGUAGAAUUGUUUGGAUGCUAGCGACGUGAUGGCGUAUGUACAAGAGCCUACCGUGGCCAGGCCACAGUUGCGACGGCCACGGCCAGAUGGCCUAGUGUGAGUGCAACCUUGAUUGCAUUUGUAUAAUGUUUACCAUUGGAUGUUUAUGCAAUUUGGCUUAAUUCAUCCGCUGUAAAGCUGCAUUUGACUAUUCCAGGGUCGUUUUGUACAGGCUUUCAAUUGACCAUGUUGACUAGUUUGUGGUAAGUUUUUUUUUUUUUUUUUUUUUUUUUUUUUUUUUUUUUUUACCCUUGCUUACAAUCCAACGGUUGCGACCACUUAUGCAACUGGGCUGUGAACCUUGCAAUUCUAGUUGCAUAUUUGUACACGCAAGCUUGUCCAUUUCUAUCGCCAUCACUAACACUAGCUUCAGAAUUUCCUUGUAGGCCAUUAGCUGACUUGUGUAUUGGAGGGAUGAUUUGGGUCAUGCUGCAAAUUUACUUUUUGUAGUUGCUCCAUAUUUAGUUCUUUGACAGCCUCACCUGCUAGAAAAGUAUAUUCAAAUCGGCUAAAUAUAAUGAACUAAAUUAAUAGCCAUGAAAUGUUGUCACUCAUACUAAUGGCAAAUACCCCCUUUCAGUUGGUGGUUCAACACUGAUGUCUCUCUAGGCUUGAGGGAGAGCUCACAAGUAAAUUACACGAAUGUCCUGGAGCAAUUGGGAAUACACUUUUAUUUAGUCUACCUGACCAGGGACAUCUUUGAACUAUAGGUCACCUAACCCCAACUUUUCACUCUUGUUAGGUUGUCCUUUUCUCUUGUUUUAACCCGAAAGGGCUGAAAAUUAUCAACAUUU